rnacentral:rRNA from 1 species
GGACCCGCACAAGCAGCGGAGCAUGUGGUUUAAUUCGAAGCAACGCGAAGAACCUUACCAAAUCUUGACAUCCUUUUGACCAUCAUUUAAUCAUGAUCUCUUCUUCGGAAGCAGAAGUGACAGGUGGUGCAUGGUUGUCGUCAGCUCGUGUCGUGAGAUGUUGGGUUAAGUCCCGCAACGAGCGCAACCCUUGUCUUUAGUUGCCAUCAGGUAAUGCUGGGCCCUCUAGAGAGACUGCCGGUGACAAACCGGAGGAAGGUGGGGAUGACGUCAAAUCAUCAUGCCCCUUAUGAUUUGGGCUACACACGUGCUACAAUGGUCGGUACAACGGGCAGCGAAAGGGUAACCUGGAGCGAAUCCUAUAAAGCCGAUCCCAGUUCGGAUUGUGGGCUGCAACUCGCCCACAUG